rnacentral:rRNA from 1 species
GAUGGAUCAUGGAGGUAGAGCACUGUUUGAACUAGGGGCCCGUCAAGGGUUACUGAAUUCAGAUAAACUCCGAAUACCAUUGAUCUUACUCCGGGAGUCAGACAGUGAGCGAUAAGGUCCAUUGUCGAAAGGGGAACAGCCCAGAUCACCAGUUAAGGUCCCUAAAUUUAUGCUAAGUGGAAAAGGAUGUGGCGUUGCACAGACAACUAGGAUGUUGGCUCAGAAGCAGCCACCAUUUAAAGAGUGCGUAAUAGCUCACUAGUCGAGUGGCACUGCGCCGAAAAUAUACCGGGGCUAAGCAUAAUACCGAAACUGUGGGUGCACCCGUCAGGGUGCGCGGUAGGAGAGCGUUCUAAGGGCGUUGAAGGUCGAUCGUGAGGACGGCUGGAGCGCUUAGAAGUGAGAAUGCCGGCAUGAGUAGCGAAAGAUCAGUGAGAAUCUGAUCCACCGUAUGACUAAGGUUUCCUGGGGAAGGCUCGUCCUCCCAGGGUUAGUCGGGAUCUAAGGCGAGGCCGCAAGGCGUAGUCGAUGACAAGCAGGUUGAGAUUCCUGCACUAGUUUAUUUUGUUUAAGCGAUGGAGGGACGCAGGAGGCUAAGGAAAGCGCACGGCUGGAAAAGUGCGUCCAAGCAGUAAGUCCGGUAGCGAGUGAAAUGCUUGCCGCCUUAAGGACAAGCUGUGAUGGGGAGCGAAAUUAAAGUAGCGAAGUUCCUGAUGUCACACUGCCAAGAAAAGCUUCUAGUGAGAAAUAAACUACCCGUACCGCAAACCGACACAGGUAGUCGAGGAGAGUAUCCUCAGGUGAGCGAGCGAACUCUCGUUAAGGAACUCGGCAAAAUGACCCCGUAACUUCGGAAGAAGGGGUGCUGACCGCAAGGUCAGCCGCAGUGAAUAGGCCCAAACAACUGUUUAUCAAAAACACAGGUCUCUGCUAAAUCGUAAGAUGAUGUAUAGGGGCUGACGCCUGCCCGGUGCUGGAAGGUUAAGAGGAUGAGUUAGCGCAAGCGAAGCCCAGAAUUGAAGCCCCAGUAAACGGCGGCCGUAACUAUAACGGUCCUAAGGUAGCGAAAUUCCUUGUCGGGUAAGUUCCGACCCGCACGAAAGGCGUAAUGAUUUGGGCACUGUCUCAACGAGAGACUCGGUGAAAUUAUAGUACCCGUGAAGAUGCGGGUUACCCGCGACAGGACGGAAAGACCCCAUGGAGCUUUACUGUAGCUUGAUAUUGAGUGUUGGUACCGCUUGUACAGGAUAGGUAGGAGCCGUAGAGAUCGGAACGCUAGUUUCGAUGGAGGCAUUGGUGGGAUACUACCCUAGCUGUAUGAACACUCUAACCCGCGCCACUGAUCGUGGCGGGAGACAGUGUCAGGUAGGCAGUUUGACUGGGGCGGUCGCCUCCUAAAAUGUAACGGAGGCGC